UCAGACAAUUCCAUAUUUCUCAGGGUGUCGUCCACAAUUUGCUUUACUUGGAGGGGUGUCGAGUACACUUGGAAUUGAUUGCCCCAGAGGUGGAAACACAGCCCCACCGUUUGCCAUGGACUAAUCCAGACUGCACUGGAAAGAGGUGAAGCUCCAGAACACAUGCAAUACAUUGAUGACAUUAUCGU